GUGGUUGUAGCUCAGUGGUAGAGUGCUUGCCUAGCAUGUGUGAGACACUGGGUUUGAUCCUCAGCAUCACA
rnacentral:tRNA from 1 species